rfam:Neotoma lepida isolate 417 scaffold_127, whole genome shotgun sequence.
ACAACGGCUCUUUUCAGAGCCACCCACCUCUUUGGGCAAGAGAGCU